rnacentral:lncRNA from 1 species
UACGAGAGUUGUACUCUGAUACCAAGUUAAAUAAUACAGAAAGAUUAUUUUUAGGGUGUAAAAAAGAAAAAAAAAAGUUGAUGUAUUAAUAUUUUGGCAUAAUUACCUAUAUACUCCUCAAAAAAAAGUUGGAAAUAUCUAAUUUACCAUUUUAUUUUUUUGUUUUCAAAUAUAUCCCUCGUAUGUUCCUCCGUUAUUGAAAAAUAAUCCCACAGUUACCACCUGUUAAGUUAUCUCAGGUUAAACGUGAGCUAAAUGUCUACCGGAGUUAAAAAAAUAUCUUUCUUGCCCUUAACUUAAGAGCAGAUAAGAAAAGUUAGUGAUAAUGGAGGGGUAUAUUUGAAAAGAUCAAAAAUCAAAAUACUUCGUCUGCCCCUAACACAAGAGCAAAUAAGAAAAAUUGAUAAUAAUAGAAGGAUAUAUUUGAAAGGGUAAAAUAAUAAUUUUAUAAAAAUAACGGCUAUUGCUAACUGUUUAACUAACAAAAUUUCACUCUAGAGAUAUAUUUGAAUUAACUUGGAACGUAAAAAGAAUAUUUUUAAUAUUAGUCUUUUAGGAGGGGGUAAAUUAGAAAGCCGAAAAUUUUUUAAGGGUAUAUAA